AAUCUCCUACGGGAGGCAGCAGUAAGGGAUAUUGGUCAAUGGGGGAAACCCUGAACCAGCAACGCCGCGUGAGGGAAGACGGUUUUCGGAUUGUAAACCUCUGUCCUCUGUGAAGAUGAUGACGGUAGCAGAGGAGGAAGCUCCGGCUAACUACGUGCCAGCAGCCGCGGUAAUACGUAGGGGGCAAGCGUUAUCCGGAUUUACUGGGUGUAAAGGGAGCGUAGACGGCCAUGCAAGUCUGAUGUGAAAACCCGGGGCUCAACCCCGGGACCGCAUUGGAAACUGUGCGGCUGGAGUGUCGGAGG
rnacentral:rRNA from 1 species